rnacentral:rRNA from 1 species
UAGCAUAUCAAUAAGCGGAGGAAAAGAAACCAACAGGGAUUGCCCCAGUAACGGCGAGUGAAGCGGCAACAGCUCAAAUUUGAAAUCUGGCCCCAGGCCCGAGUUGUAAUUUGCAGAGGAUGCUUUUGGCGCGGUGCCUUCCGAGUUCCCUGGAACGGGACGCCAUAGAGGGUGAGAGCCCCGUACGGUUGGACACCAAGCCUUUGUAAAGCUCCUUCGACGAGUCGAGUAGUUUGGGAAUGCUGCUCUAAAUGGGAGGUACAUUUCUUCUAAAGCUAAAUAUUGGCCAGAGACCGAUAGCGCACAAGUAGAGUGAUCGAAAGAUGAAAAGCACUUUGAAAAGAGGGUUAAACAGCACGUGAAAUUGUUAAAAGGGAAGCGCUUGUGACCAGACUUGCGUCCGGUGAAUCACCCAGCUCUCGCGGCUGGGGCACUUCGCCGGCACAGGCCAGCAUCAGCUUGCCGUCGGGGACAAAAGCUUCAGGAACGUGGCUCCUCUCGGGGAGUGUUAUAGCCUGUUGCACAAUACCCUUCGGCGGGCUGAGGUACGCGCUCCGCAAGGAUGCUGGCGUAAUGGUCAUCAGCGACCCGUCUUGAAACACGGACCAAGGAGUCAACCUUAUGUGCGAGUGUUUGGGUGUUAAACCCCUACGCGUAAUGAAAGUGAACGCAGGUGAGAGCUUCGGCGCAUCAUCGACCGAUCCUGAUGUUCUCGGAUGGAUUUGAGUAAGAGCAUAUAGGGUUGGACCCGAAAGAAGGUGAACUAUGCGUGUGUAGGGUGAAGCCAGAGGAAACUCUGGUGGAGGCUCGCAGCGGUUCUGACGUGCAAAUCGAUCGUCAAACAUGCGCAUGGGGGGCGAAAGACUAAUCGAACCUUCUAGUAGCUGGUUUCCGCG